rnacentral:rRNA from 1 species
UACGUAGGGGGCGAGCGUUGUCCGGAAUCAUUGGGCGUAAAGCGCGUGUAGGCGGCCCGGUAAGUCCGCUGUGAAAGUCCAGGGCUCAACCCUGGGAUGCCGGUGGAUACUGUCGGGCUCGAGUCCGGAAGAGGCGAGUGGAAUUCCUGGUGUAGCGGUGAAAUGCGCAGAUAUCAGGAGGAACACCAAUGGCGUAGGCAGCUCGCUGGGACGGUACUGACGCUGAGGCGCGAAAGCGUGGGGAGCAAACAGG